rnacentral:rRNA from 1 species
CACGCAGUAAACGAUGCCGACUGGGCGUGGGGGGACUUGACCCCCUCCGUGCCGGAGCUAACGCGGUAAGUCGGCCGCCUGGGGAGUACGGCCGCAAGGCUAAAACUCAAAGGAAUUGACGGGGGCCCGCACAAGCGGCGGAGCGUGCGGUUUAAUUCGACGCAACGCGCAGAACCUUACCAGGGCUUGACAUGCACCUGCAGAGCCGCGAAAGCGGAUGUCCUUCGAGGGUGGUGCACAGGUGC